rnacentral:sRNA from 1 species
UGCAGCCGGCAGAGAUGGUUGAGCUCAUGUUCCCGCUGUUGCUCCUCCUUCUGCCCUUCCUUAUGUAUAUGGCUGCGCCCCAAAUCAGGAAAAUGCUGUCCAGUGGGGCGUGUACAUCAACUGUUCAGCUUCCUGGGAAAGUAGUUGUGGUCACUGGAGCUAAUACAGGUAUCGGGAAGGAGACAGCCAAAGAGCUGGCUCAGAGAGGAGCUCGAGUAUAUUUAGCUUGCCGGGAUGUGGAAAAGGGGGAAUUGGUGGCCAAAGAGAUCCAGACCACAACAGGGAACCAGCAGGUGUUGGUGCGGAAACUGGACCUGUCUGAUACUAAGUCUAUUCGAGCUUUUGCUAAGGGCUUCUUAGCCGAGGAAAAGCACCUCCACGUUUUGAUCAACAAUGCAGGAGUGAUGAUGUGUCCGUACUCGAAGACAGCAGAUGGCUUUGAGAUGCACAUAGGAGUCAACCACUUGGGCUCUGGCGUUACGACGUAUUCUGUACACCCUGGCACAGUCCAAUCUGAACUGGUUCGGCACUCAUCUUUCAUGAGAUGGAUGUGGUGGCUUUUCUCCUUUUUCAUCAAGACUCCUCAGCAGGGAGCCCAGACCAGCCUGCACUGUGCCUUAACAGAAGGUCUUGAGAUUCUAAGUGGGAAUCAUUUCAGGUAUGAAUGUUAUCUCUUUUUGCAGAUGAGAUUUAUUGCUCAAAGGAGAUAAUUUGGGUUUGUCUGGGUAUACCCUUUUUUAAAAGUACAUUGUCUCAUAUAGCUUUUGUCUUUUAACUCUAGAGUUUUCACCUUUUAGUAGGGGAAUUUGACUCUCUUUUGUAAUAACUGCUACAUUUGAUUUUAUGCCAUCUUUUAUACUGAUAAUUAUGCAUUCUGUUUGUUUUCUUCCUGUCUUUGUUAUGUCAGUCCAGUUUUCUUUAUUCUUUUUUGGAUUCCUAAUUCUAUUGUUUUACAUUAAAAAGAAUUUAAAAAGAAUUUGAGGCCGGGCGCAGUGGCUUACGCCUGUAAUCUCAGCACUUUGGGAGGCCAAGGUGGGCAGAUCACCUAAGGUCAGGCGAAACUCCGCCUCAAAAAAAAAAAAAAAGAAUUUGAAUCUGUAUUUCUCUAUUGUCUUCAGGAUUGAAAUACUAUGGACUCCCCUCUCAAAUAAGCGAAGACAUUU